rnacentral:rRNA from 1 species
CGGGGCUUAAUGUCUUGUAAUUGGAAUGAUGGGAAUUUAAACCUCUUCCAGAGUAUCAAUUGGAGGGCAAGUCUGGUGCCAGCAGCCGCGGUAAUUCCAGCUCCAAUAGCGUAUAUUAAAAUUGUUGCAGUUAAAAAGCUCGUAGUUGAAUUUCUGCUACAUUGCCUAUUCUCCUUUACGAGUUUGGGUCUUUUGUGGCUUAUCUGGGUUCGCUUGCGUUCCCGGUGUUUUACUUUGAGAAAAUUAGAGUGCUCAAAGCAGGCUUUUGCCUUGAAUAGUUUAGCAUGGAAUAAUAAAGUAGGACUUUGGUUCUAUUUUGUUGGUUUUAGGUACCAAAGUAAUGGUUAAUAGGAACAGUUGGGGGCAUUCGUAUUUAACUGUCAGAGGUGAAAUUCUUAGAUUUGUUAAAGACGAACUACUGCGAAAGCAUUUGCCAAGGAUGUUUUCAUUAAUCAAGAACGAAAGUUAGGGGAUC